CUCUCUCCUCAGAGAGAAGACAACCAAUAACAGGUUCUCCUGCGUUCUUUCUCGUUUCCUCAACUGUUUGGAGCGAUGAACGAUAGUCCCUUACAAGUGUUAACUUUUCCAACUGCUCCUUACCCCGACCAGAGGCCUGGAACUAGUGGUUUGAGAAAGAAGGUCCAAGUUUUCCAGUCUAAAAAGAACUAUCUGCACAACUUCAUCCAAUGUAUCUUCUCCUCAAUCGACCUGCGGGACAGGCAGGGCUCCACUAUGGUGGUUGGUGGAGAUGGACGCUACUUCAAUUCGACUGCCAUUCACAUCAUAGUGCAGAUGGCUGCAGCUAAUGGGGUGGGUCGUCUCGUGAUUGGUCAGAAUGGUAUCAUGUCGACACCAGCUGUGUCUUGUUUGAUCAGGAAGAUUAAAGCUAUCGGUGGAAUCAUCCUUUCAGCCAGUCAUAACCCUGGAGGACCUGACGGAGACUUUGGCAUCAAAUUCAAUACUGCCAAAGGAGGUCCUGCACCAGAGGCUGUCACAAACAAAAUCUUCCAGAUGAGCAGAACGAUAGAGGAGUAUGCCAUUUGUCCUGAGCUCAGGGUAGAUUUGAGAACAAUUGGCAAGCAAAUCUUUGACUUAGAGAACAAAUUUAAACCAUUUACAGUAGAUAUUGUGGAUCCAGUUGAAUCCUAUGCUAACUCUCUGAGGAACAUCUUUGACUUUGCUGUUCUAAAGGAGCUACUGUCAGGAGACAACCAUAUACAAAUCCGUUUAGAUGCUAUGCAUGGAGUGGUUGGCCCGUAUUUGAAGAAGAUCCUGUGUGAGGAGCUGGGUUCCCCUGCAAAUUCAGCUGUUAACUGUGUACCUCUGGAGAACUUUGGGGGUCGUCACCCAGACCCCAACUUGACCUAUGCUGCUGACCUUGUUGAGACCAUGAAGAAUGGACAUUAUGACUUUGGAGCUGCUUUUGAUGGUGAUGGUGACCGUUAUAUGAUUCUUGGGAAGCAUGGCUUCUUUGUAAACCCUUCAGACUCAGUUGCUGUCAUCGCUGCAAACAUUUUCUGCAUUCCCUACUUCCAGCACACAGGAGUAAGAGGCUUUGCAAGGAGUAUGCCCACCAGUGCAGCUCUUGACAUGGUGGCCAAAGCCACUAAGAUUCAACUAUAUGAGACGCCGACUGGAUGGACAUUUUUUGGGAGCCUGAUGGACACGGGUCGUCUUUCACUCUGUGGGGAGGAAAGUUUUGGCACAGGCUCAGAUCAUAUACGUGAAAAGGACGGGCUUUGGGCAGUGCUAGCAUGGCUUUCUAUCUUAGCAACCAGAAGGCAAAGUGUAGAAGACAUUAUGACAGACCACUGGAGAACCUACGGGAGAAACUACUACACCAGAUUUGAUUAUGAAGAGGUGGAUUUAGAUGCAGCCGUGGAAAUGAUGUUGGAUGUUGAGCUGAUGAUUUCAAACAAAGCAUUCAUCGGGCAAGUGUUUGCUGUGGGGGAAAAUAAAUACCAAGUGGAGACAGCAGACAAUUUUGAGUACAGUGAUCCUGUGGAUGGAACCAUAUCAAGAAACCAGGGCCUGAGGAUAAUAUUUAAAGGAGGUUCACGCAUCAUUUUUCGUCUCAGUGGGACAGAUAGUUUCGGAGCCACAGUUCGUCUGAAUAUAGAAAGUUACGAGAAAGAUGUAAACAAGCUCUUUCAGGACCCGCAGGUAAGCAUGACUGAAUUCUUAUUUUCACCAAUAUUCUAAAUUAUACCUUUAUUUUUAGGAAGUCCCAUAGAUAUACAUAUGUAGACGUAUGUACCUACGUACAUACGGUUCGGAUACAUCAACCGUGGCACCAUCUUGGCAUGGUCAACAAGGAGAGUUGUUUGAAUGUGGCACUAGCGGAGCUCAUCACCAUUGCACUGCAACUUUCACACAUACAUGAAAGAACCGGGCGAACCGGCCCUACUGUUAUUACAUGAUUACAUUGAAUGUUACUGU